CAAACAAAUACUCCAGUCCAUAGAUGAAGUUCCACACUAUACCCUGGAAGCUGACAACUCUGCUUGAGAACAGUCACCAUCAUGGGUAUCACCGACCCAACUCUGGACAACAUGCUGCAUCCAUGAACUGUUCACAGAACUCUGGAAAAACCUUCUUUCAUUAAGCAAACAUCUUAAUAAAACGACCUGCCCUCUCCUGCUGUGCAUGUGCAUUGCACACACAGUGGUAAGGCUAAUUGUGCUUAUCCUGACAUGAAUGUCCACAGAGGACUCUGGGCACAAUUCUACCACACUAGCAGCAGAUGUGAGUCACUGGAAUAAGUUCUUCAUCAGUAAAGGUGCUGAAAUGUGGAGUCCAAGAGAGCCCCGGCUCUGCACAGAGAAGACAUCUGGGAGAUGCUAAUUGAAGACUGAAGAAAAAUGAGAGCAAUUCCAUGGUCUCUGAUCUAAAUUAUACAUUCACCCUCUCCUGGCUCUUUGAGACACAUAAUAGAUGAAUAAAAAGA